UAAAAAAUUCUGUACACAAAGGG
rnacentral:piRNA from 1 species